CUUUUAACGAAAAAUUCAUGGUUCAUAUCAUAGUUCAUCCAUCUUUUCGCUUGCUCUUUCACACCCAGAAAGUUCUCCUUGUGUACUGCUUUGUUCUGAAUUCAUCACUUGGACCAAUAAGUUUUGGAAGCACACAGUAAGAACAAGAACAGACAAUCCCAAAAGGUACUGAAAGUUAAGAACAUUGCUUAGAGGAAAAGAUGGUAUGACUUCAUACUCAGUGCCUCAUUAUCCCAUACUGCAGUUUGGCUUUGAACCACCAAUCCCAGAAGACACUAUCGUAGUCACAAAGAAAGCUUUCAGCUCUGGAUUAUCAAUGUCAGAUGCAAUAGAAGAAUUGUACCUAAGAAAUUUGAAAGUUGACAAAUAUAUUAAUAUGUAAAGGAAAUAACGGAAUUAGGAUAUAUAAACCAGUAAUUGUGGUCAAAAUAAAAGUGCAUCAUCAGAGGAAAAGAAGACGUGA
rnacentral:lncRNA from 1 species